rnacentral:rRNA from 1 species
CCUACGGGCGGCAGCAGUGAGGAAUAUUGGUCAAUGGGCGCGAGCCUGAACCAGCCAAGUAGCGUGAAGGAUGACUGCCCUACGGGUUGUAAACUUCUUUUAUAAAGGAAUAAAGUGAAGCACGUGUGCCUCUUUGUAUGUACCCUAUGAAUAAGGAUCGGCUAACUCCGUGCCAGCAGCCGCGGUAAUACGGAGGAUCCGAGCGUUAUCCGGAUUUAUUGGGUUUAAAGGGUGCGUAGGUGGGUUGUUAAGUCAGUUGUGAAAGUUUGGGGCUCAACCCUAGAAUUGCAAUUGAUACUGGCGGUCUUGAGUACGCUUGAAGUAGGCGGAAUUCGUGGUGUAGCGGUGAAAUGCAUAGAUAUCACGAAGAACGCCGAUUGCGAAGGCAGCUUACUAAACUGCAACUGACGUUGAUGCUCGAAAGUGUGGGUAUCAAACAGGAUUAGAUACCCCUGUAGUC